rnacentral:ncRNA from 2 species
UGAAUAGUUCGGCAGUUAGGUGCCUUUGUAACAAUAACAAAGGGUAACAGGGAAUCGGGUGCAACUCCCGAGCGGUCCCGCCACUGUAACCGAGAAGUUCUCUUUCAAAAUGUCACUCGCUUUAGAGUUGGGGAAGACGAAAGAGCGCAAAGAUCCGGAAGCCAGGAGACCUACCUAAAUUGCCACACCCAU